CGUAGGGUGCGAGCGUUAAUCGGAAUUACUGGGCGUAAAGCGUGCGCAGGCGGUUAUAUAAGACAGAUGUGAAAUCCCCGGGCUCAACCUGGGAACUGCAUUUGUGACUGUAUAGCUAGAGUACGGCAGAGGGGGAUGGAAUUCCGCGUGUAGCAGUGAAAUGCGUAGAUAUGCGGAGGAACACCGAUGGCGAAGGCAAUCCCCUGGGCCUGUACUGACGCUCAUGCACGAAAGCGUGGGGAGCAAACAGGAUUAGAUACCCUGGUAGUCCACGCCCUAAACGAUGUCAACUGGUUGUUGGGUCUUCACUGACUCAGUAACGAAGCUAACGCGUGAAGCUGACCGCCUGGGGAGUACGGCCGCAAGGUUG
rnacentral:rRNA from 1 species